GGGUGCGAUCAUACCAACGUUAAUGUAUCGGAUCCCAUCAGAACUCCACAGUUAAGAAAUCUUGGGCUAGAGUAGUACUGGGAUGGGGAACCUCCCGGGAAGUACUAGUGUUGCACCCU
rnacentral:rRNA from 1 species